rnacentral:lncRNA from 1 species
CGCAGGGAGCCUGGCCACAUGGGAGGGGUGUGGUCCGGAACUCCAACCCCAGGUCCUGCUUGGCCGCCCCUCCCGCGGCUACGCACUACUCCAUCUACUGCUGGCUUGCCCCGGGUCCUUAAGCCAGCGACAGUUUUUAUUGCCGAACCCAGGCUGGAAGCGGGCGGCCCUAGGAGCCGCGCACAACAGCGCAAGCGGGCUGGAUACCGGGAGCCGAUUCCAGGGCGCCCACAGAAGCAGAAUCAGAGGGGUUGCUCACACCCGAGAUGUGAGGUUCCAGGAGCGCCGACCCAGAGUUGCCAGGCCUGAAGGCGGGAGAGGCUCAGUCGCACCCUACAUUUCCCACCUCCAAGAUUUUAAGUAUAGUUCGCUUGAAAUCCCUGGAAUGCGCUUUCUUCUGGCUCCUACCCGGAGAUCCGGAGUCCGGACAAACCGGGGCAGGAAGGGUCCGUCGGACCAGCUCCUCCCAAGCCGAGGCUUCCAGGUCUCGGCCGGGCUCUUCUCCCUGCUUUUAGCUGAGCCGGGCUGGGCGUACCUCUCUCCUCCAUCUAGAGCAGGGUGUGAAGAGGAAGCCAGAGGGGGCUGUCUGAAAAUGACCCUGACCCCCUCCUCGGGCUGUCGUGAGGAGGAGGGCCGCUUCGCCCGGCUGCUCGUCACCGCGAAGGCUCCAAAGAAGUGUUGCGCAGCCGUGCUGGUAUAACUGAGGGUGUCCUGGCGAAGCCCAGCCCCUGGCGCCCUGGUGACCGGGGGGGUCGAUGUGCGGACUGGGCAGAACUGGAGCCCGAAGCUGGAGAGCGCCCCUCAAAAAGAAGCCUGGAAGCCCGAGAGAUGAACCCGACUCAGAGAGGGCCAAGACUGCAGACCUUGGGGACCGAGGACACCCUCACCACGCUGGUGGGGGCUGGGGGGAUGGCGCGGGCGGUGGCGUGCGGGGAAGCGCCUGGGGAACACCUGGCUCUGCAAGUUUUGUGCCUUAGCGGAAAGAGGCGACAUCUCUGGCAAGUUGGGAGUACAGGAAGUAGCGAAGGAGUGCCAUCUGGUGGAUCCUUCUGGUAGUGACACUCAGACCUGGGCCAGGGGCCUUGAGACAAUUUACUUGACUGGAAAAAUCUGAAUAAAAAAAAGAUGCUUCAA